GAUGAACGCUAGCUGGAGGCUUAAUACAUGCAAGUCGAGCGGGGUUGGGUAGCAAUACCCAUGAGAGCGGCGCACGGGUGAGUAACGCGUACACGACCUACCUCUAACAGGGGGAUAGCCCUGGGAAACUGGGAUUAAUACCGCAUAUAAUUCUGAAUAAUAAAGGUUUGGAAUGAAAGCUGAGGCGGUUAGAGAUGGGUGUGCGUCUGAUUAGCUAGUUGGUGGGGUAACGGCCUACCAAGGCGAUGAUCAGUAGGGGGCGUGAGAGCGUGGUCCCCCACACGGGUACUGAGACACGGACCCGACUCCUACGGGAGGCAGCAGUAAGGAAUAUUGGUCAAUAGGCGAAAGCCUGAACCAGCCAUCCAGCGUGCAGGAAGAAGGCCCUAUGGGUCGUAAACUGCUUUUAUCAGGGAAGGAACCUCUGGAUUUACUCCGGAGCUGACGGUACCUGAAGAAUAAGCACCGGCUAACUCCGUGCCAGCCGCCGCGGUAAAAC
rnacentral:rRNA from 1 species